CCUACGGGAGGCUGUAGUGGGGAAUAUUGGACAAUGGGCGAAAGCCUGAUCCAGCCAUGCCGCGUGUGUGAAGAAGGCCUUCGGGUUGUAAAGCACUUUCAGUGGGGAAGAAAGCCUUGGGGCUAAUACCCUCGAGGAAGGACAUCACCCACAGAAGAAGCACCGGCUAACUCCGUGCCAGCAGCCGCGGUAAUACGGAGGGUGCGAGCGUUAAUCGGAAUUACUGGGCGUAAAGCGCGCGUAGGCGGUCUGAUAAGCCGGUUGUGAAAGCCCCGGGCUCAACCUGGGAACGGCAUCCGGAACUGUCAGGCUAGAGUGCAGGAGAGGAAGGUAGAAUUCCCGGUGUAGCGGUGAAAUGCGUAGAGAUCGGGAGGAAUACCAGUGGCGAAGGCGGCCUUCUGGACUGACACUGACGCUGAGGUGCGAAAGCGUGGGUAGCAAACAGGAUUAGAUACCCCAGUAGUC
rnacentral:rRNA from 1 species